UACAGAGGUCUCAAGCGUUGUUCGGAUUCAUUGGGCGUAAAGGGUGCGUAGGCGGCGCGGUAAGUCGGGUGUGAAAUCUCGGAGCUUAACUCCGAAACUGCAUUCGAUACUGCCGUGCUUGAGGACUGGAGAGGAGACUGGAAUUUACGGUGUAGCGGUGAAAUGCGUAGAUAUCGUAAGGAACACCGGUGGCGAAGGCGGUUCUCUGGGCCUGACCUGACGCUGAGGAGCGAAAGCGUGGGGAGCAAACGGG
rnacentral:rRNA from 1 species